UACGUAGGGGGCAAGCGUUGUCCGGAUUUAUUGGGCGUAAAGAGCGUGUAGGCGGCUAGAUAGGUCCGUUGUGAAAACUCGAGGCUCAACCUCGAGACGUCGAUGGAAACCAUCUGGCUAGAGUCCGGAAGAGGAGAGUGGAAUUCCCUGGUGUAGCGGUGGAAUGCGCAGAUAUCAGGAAGAACACCCGUGGCGAAGGCGGCUCUCUGGAACGCAACUGACGCUGAGACGCGAAAGCGUGGGGAGCAAACAGG
rnacentral:rRNA from 1 species